GACGAACGCUGGCGGCAUGCCUAAUACAUGCAAGUCGAGCGAACAGAUGAAGUGCUUGCACUUCUGACGUUAGCGGCGAACGGGUGAGUAACACGUAAGGAAUCUACCUAUAAGCGGGGGAUAACAUUCGGAAACGGGUGCUAAUACCGCAUAAUAUCUUCUUCCGCAUGGAAAGAGAUUGAAAGACGGCUCUGCUGUCACUUAUAGAUGACCUUGCGGUGCAUUAGUUAGUUGGUGGGGUAACGGCCUACCAAGACGAUGAUGCAUAGCCGACCUGAGAGGGUGGUCGGCCACAUUGGGACUGAGACACGGCCCAAACUCCUACGGGAGGCAGCAGUAGGGAAUCUUCCGCAAUGGGCGAAAGCCUGACGGAGCAAUGCCGCGUGAGUGAAGAAGGCCUUCGGGUCGUAAAACUCUGUUAUAAGAGAAGAACAAAUUGUAGAGUAACUGCUACAGUCUUGACGGUAUCUUAUCGGAAAGCCACGGCUAACUACGUGCCAGCCGCCGCGGUAA
rnacentral:rRNA from 1 species